rnacentral:tRNA from 1 species
AUGUAAGAAAUCUUACAGAUAGUACUAUGCAGAUUUAUGAUAUUAUUUUGAAUUUUGUUGGGGGGCUAGUGC